UUCCAAACACAACAGGACUGUUGCAUAUAUAAACUCACAGAGACUGUGGCAGCAUGUCAAAGUUCCACAAAGAUUCAAGCUAGAGGGGAGGCUGAUCAUAGACGCCCUACACCCAACUAAGAGGCUAUGUGCAUUGAUGUCCACUGAUAAGACAGAAAUUAGUGUUCUCCAAUGCAUUGUCACUGGACAUAUCAACCACAACUGAGGCAGAGUAUCAGCUUCACUUCACCAAUGUGGGAUGCUUCUCCAACCUCCUCAUUAUUACUUCCUCUCCUUGGCAUUUACAGUUCCCAGACAGAAGCAUUUAGUCCUCUGAGAGUCUCCAUACAGAAGCUGACUCAGAGAGAUGCAGAUACCCACAGCCAAACAGUGGACAGAGCUUGGGGACUCUUAUGGAAGAAUAGGAGGAAGAAUUGCUGGCCCUGAAGGAGAUAAGAACUCCAUAGGAAGACCAACAGAGUCAGCUAACCUGGACCCUUCGGGCUUACAGAGACUGCCAUCAACAAAAGAACAUAGAUGGGCUGGACCUAGGCCUCUAUGCUCAUAUAUAGCAGAUGUUUAGCUUGGUCUUCAUGUGAGUCCUAAACAACUGAAACAGGGGCUAUUCCUAAAGCUGUUGCCUGUCUGUGGGAUAUGUUUGACUAGGUGGGCUGCCUUGUCAGGCCUCAGUGGGAGAGGAAGCUCCUAACCUCACGAAGACUUGAAGUACCUAGGUGAGGGGAAUAUACUCAGAAGGGGACCAUGCCCACUCAAAGGAGAAAGGAAGUGUGAUGUGGGAGGGGUUGUGGGAGGGGAUUCCUGGGAUACAAGUCAGGGAGUGGGAUGUAGAGUGAAUAAGUAAAAAAAUUAAAUUAAAUUAAAUUAAAAUACGAAUUUUAUUUUUAAAAAGAAUUUUCUCCUCAGUAAGUUUUGCUUCUCUAUACACAUGAAUUCUUUACAGAGCUGUUUCAAAUGUUUUGUAGCAUUGCUUAUAUGUUUCAGUUAUGAGCCAUAAAGAAUGACUGUAAUAAAAUGACUGUGUAAAAAUAGAUUAGCACUAGUCAAGGAUUCAUUGUCAAACUUUCUAAACUUUCAUUAAAUGUACAUAUGCACAUAAAAAAUC
rnacentral:lncRNA from 1 species